UAAUGUUUAUAAAAUAAAAUUUAAAACAAAAAAAGGCAUGCCAAGACAAAACUUAAUCCUGCAUCUACAUAUUUAUCCACCCAGUAGUUAAUCGGCGACGAGGUCGAAGCACAAUAUACAUGCACCAGCCACAACCUCAGUACCACAAAUGGGGCAAUAUUAAUUUUGUUUUAUUUUCAGAAAUUUGAAGUGACAAAACCCACCGGCCGACGACCGGAUCGAGGUGGUAGCCGGUUGCCACAUGGAUACGUCACAGUAUACAUAUGCCACACCAUCAAUACUUGGCACGUCGCUCGACACAUGGAUUCCAAUGUCUGCACAAGUGUACAUAUUGAUUACUCUCUUCAAUUUAUGUGGUGUUUGUUAUAAUUUAAAUUUCACUUUAAGAUUCUUUCCAAUUAUAAUUUGUUUUUUUGCAAACAGACCAUGUUUAUCUUCAAUGGAUUCCAAUGUUUGUCUUUACACAUACCUCCAUUACUCUGUUCAAGGUUAUCCAAUAUUCAUGCAUGCUUCAGCUUCACUACUAAAUUACUACUAUCACACUAGCAGCGUAACCCUAUAUAUAUGCCUUGAUAAAUUGGAUUAAGAAUAUGUUCCUAUCAAAUUCAUCACCCAAACAGGAAAAAAAACUCACUUUAUUUUCGUUCGAUAUGAAGCUCCCUCUGUGCAUCACUCUCAUGAUCUUCUCGCUUCUCUUGGUCAUGUUUGCGAGUACCACAGAGUCCAGAAAAGAAUUGAAAGAUAAUUGGUACAAAAAUGUGAUGGAAGAUGAGUCAUUGCCUAAUUUAAAGCCACUUUUUAUUGGAAGUGAAAAGCUUUUCAUUAAGGAGCUUGAACCAAGCACUGAUAAUGCUUUACCUGCCUAUAAAAUG